rnacentral:lncRNA from 11 species
CAGGAGUUCAUUUUGUUAUAAGCAUACUGGAUUGAAAAUAAAGAAGAUGAGAAAGAAAAUAGGGAUGGUGUGCUGUUUUGAUAACAGGAAUGCUCAUGAGGAUCUAAACCAUGGAUCCAGAGCUUUUGGGAGGAUGGAAACAUAAGGAGAGACAUGACUUUGAAGGAGGAAGGAUCUCUAAGAAGACAAAAUGAGAAACAUGCAUACCUUGGAGACAAGAAGACAUGAGAAUCUUGAAUAAAGCAAAGCCCUU